GGAAGGCCGUGGUGAGCAAAUCAGGGAAGUAAAGUAACGGAACAGGCCGAGGCAGCAAUACUAUAAUAUAGUCGCCAAGUCAGUCAGUUCGGGGCCUCGCCAUUCGCGCCAAUCCCGGGCUGAAUCUUGGCGGUUCAGUCUCCUUCCUUCGCCCUGUCAACUUCCCACUUUCGUCACAUCACUUUCCUUCCUUCCCUCGUUCCUUCCUUCCUUCCUUCCUUCCCUCGUUGUUGCUUUCCUUCCUUCCUUCCCUCGUUCCUUCCUUCGUCCUGUCAUCUUUCUCCAUCCUCCCUUCCUCCUGUCACCUUCCCCCCUUUAUUCCUCCCUUCCUCUGUCACCUUCCUUUGGCCUUCGUCCUGCCAUCCUUGAUCCAACAAAAACGGUCUCCGGCGCCUUCACUGUAUUUUCGAUUGAUUUGAAUUAAUCCCGUCUGGAAUUUUAAGAGGCUCAUCUUGCUAUCCACCCUCCUCGCCUCGCGGGGCUGGGGAGCGUCAGGGGGCCCAAGGCCUUCCUGGCGAGCGUCGCAGGGCUCAGGGCUCCGGCAAGGCGCCUCGGCUCCCCCGGAGCGUCCACGGAGGUGUCGGAGAUCCCGAGGGUCCGGGGGUUGGGGGGGCGUGAAGUGGCAGCAAGACAUGCAGUUACUGACCUCUUAUUAGCCAGACGACGCGUUAAUGACACGUUCCAAUGGAAUGUUCGACGCAUGGGGAGGUACAAUUCCCCUAAGCAAGGCAAGUGUCAUGCCAACUACGAUAAAAAAUGAAAAAUACAAAAAAAAUACAAAAACAAAAAAUCCAAAAAAAAUUGUCUUGUUUUGCUUUGUUUAAAGCGUCUUGUAUGUUGGUAUGGCGGGUCUUCUCUGGGGAGAAGGAGACUAACGCGUUCCAACAUACAAAACCAGGAAAAGACGACAUGGAAACACCGAGAGAAGGAAGGGAAAGAAGGGAACACCAGAAGAAGGAAAAUGAAGAGAAGUAACACUAAAAGAAGGCAUAUGAAGUAACACAAGAAGAAGGAAGUUGAAAAGAGUAACACAAGAAAAAGGAAUUUGAAAAGAGUUACACAAGAAGAAGGUAUUGAAAAGAGUUACACAGAAGAAGGUAUUGAAAAGAGUAACACAGAAGAAGGUAUUGAAAAGAGUAACACAGAAGAAGGUAUUGAAAAGAGUAACACAGAAGAAGGUAUUGAAAAGAGUUACACAGAAGAAGGUAUUGAAAAGAGUAACACAGAAGAAGGUAUUGAAAAGAGUUACACAGAAGAAGGUAUUGAAAAGAGUUACACAGAAGAAGGUAUUGAAAAGAGUUACAAAGAAGAAGGUAUUGAAAAGAGCAACACAGAAGAAGGUAUUGAAAAGAGUAACACAGAAGAAGGUAUUGAAAAGAGUUACAAAGAAGAAGGUAUUGAAAAGAGUUACACAGAAGAAGGUAUUGAAAAGAGUUACACAGAAGAAGGUAUUGAAAAGAGUAACAGAAGAAGAAGAAAUUUGAAGAGAAAUAACACAAGAAGAAGAAAUGUGAAGUAACACCGGAAGGAAAAUGCAGAGAAGUAACACUAGAAAAAUGAAAAUGGAAAUGAAAAGAAUCAUCCACCUUUCGGCCCAAACCAACAUCACAAAAUUAUGGGCGAGUCUCUUCUGGGAGGAAAGCGGCUCGUUCAGACCCAGGAACACCAGAAAGGAUGAUAGAAACAUCAAGAAAAAGGAAAACAAAAAAGUCAUCCACCUUUCGGCCCCUGGGGACGCAGGGUGGGUGACGGGUGAAUCUCCUCUGGGGAGAAGGAGGCUAACCCACACAGUCAAGAUAGAGGAUAGACAAAGGAAAUUAUAUCAUCGAGAAAAGAAAAUGAAAUUACAAUAUCAAGAAAAUAACUAAAAAGUCAUCGAGCUUUCGGCCCCUGGGGCCGCAGGGCGGGUGACGGGUGAGUCUUCUGGGGAGGAGGAGGCUCAUCCACAGCCAGCAACACCAACAGAAAGAAAAGAAAAGAAACAUCAUGAGAAAAGAAAAGAAAA